UACAGAGCGCACGGGUGUUAUUCGUUUUGAUUGGGUGUAAAGGGUAUGUAGGCAGUUGUCAACAUUUUUGGCUAAAAUUGCGGAGUAUUCCUACGCAAACAGCCUUUUAAAAAAGCCAACUUGAAUUGAAAAUGGGUCGGGGUAAAUUUUUAAUGUAGGAGUAAAAUCCACACAUAUUAGAAGGAACACCAGCCAGCGAAGGCGCCUUUCUAGUUUCAAUUGACGCUGAGGUGACGGAAGCUGGGGAGCAAACGGA
rnacentral:rRNA from 1 species